GAUGAACGCUAGCUACAUGCUUAACACAUGCAAGUCGAGGGGCAGCGGGAUUGAAGCUUGCUUCAAUCGCCGGCGACCGGCGCACGGGUGAGUAACGCGUAUCCAACCUUCCGCAUACUCGGGGAUAGCCUUCUGAAAAGGAGAUUAAUACCCGAUGGUAUCAAGAGAUUGCAUGAUAACUUGAUUAAAGAAUUUCGGUAUGCGAUGGGGAUGCGUUCCAUUAGGUAGUAGGCGGGGUAACGGCCCACCUAGCCAACGAUGGAUAGGGGUUCUGAGAGGAAGGUCCCCCACAUUGGAACUGAGACACGGUCCAAACUCCUACGGGAGGCAGCAGUGAGGAAUAUUGGUCAAUGGACGAGAGUCUGAACCAGCCAAGUAGCGUGAAGGAUGAAGGUUCUAUGGAUUGUAAACUUCUUUUAUAAGGGAAUAAAACCUCCCACGUGUGGGAGCUUGUAUGUACCUUAUGAAUAAGCAUCGGCUAACUCCGUGCCAGCAGCCGCGGUAAUACGGAGGAUGCGAGCGUUAUCCGGAUUUAUUGGGUUUAAAGGGAGCGCAGACGGGGGAUUAAGUCAGUUGUGAAAGUUUGGGGCUCAACCUUAAAAUUGCAGUUGAUACUGGUUCUCUUGAGUGCAGUUGAGGCAGGCGGAAUUCGUGGUGUAGCGGUGAAAUGCUUAGAUAUCACGAAGAACCCCGAUUGCGAAGGCAGCUUGCUAAACUGUAACUGACGUUCAUGCUCGAAAGUGUGGGUAUCAAACAGG
rnacentral:rRNA from 1 species